rnacentral:siRNA from 1 species
UGCUAUAUUUUUAUUGGAUAUUG